AUUGAACGCUGGCGGCAUGCCUUACACAUGCAAGUCGAACGGCAGCAUGGGUGCUUGCACCUGAUGGCGAGUGGCGAACGGGUGAGUAAUACAUCGGAACGUACCCGGAAGUGGGGGAUAACGUAGCGAAAGUUACGCUAAUACCGCAUAUUCUGUGAGCAGGAAAGAGGGGGAUCGCAAGACCUCUCGCUUUCGGAGCGGCCGAUGUCGGAUUAGCUAGUUGGCGGGGUAAAGGCCCACCAAGGCAACGAUCCGUAGCGGGUCUGAGAGGAUGAUCCGCCACACUGGGACUGAGACACGGCCCAGACUCCUACGGGAGGCAGCAGUGGGGAAUUUUGGACAAUGGGGGCAACCCUGAUCCAGCCAUGCCGCGUGAGUGAAGAAGGCCUUCGGGUUGUAAAGCUCUUUCGGCUGGGAAGAAAUCGCAUCUCCUAAUACGGGGUGUGGAUGACGGUACCAGCAUAAGAAGCACCGGCUAACUACGUGCCAGCCGCCGCAGUAAAAC
rnacentral:rRNA from 1 species